rnacentral:lncRNA from 1 species
GGAGCACUCUCCACAGCUGCUGGUCCAGGUGCUAAGUCCCUCACUGCCCAGCACCUGCAGCGCCGACCGGCCGCUCUUGAGUGCGGGGCCUGCAGAGCCCACGCCCACCCGGAACUCGCGCUGGCCCGUGAGCGCCGUGCCGCAGCCCCGGUUCCCGCCCGCGCCUCUCCCUCCACACUUCGCCGCAAGCAGAGGGAGCCGGCUCCGGCCUCAGCUGGCCCAGAGAGGGGCUCCCUCAGUGCAGUGGCGAGCUGAAGGGCUCCUCAAGGGCGGCUGGAGUGGACGCUGAGGCCGAGGAGACGCCAAGAGCAAACGAGGGCUGCUAGUACAUUGUCACCUCUCACUGGUAACUACAGUUGCUGUCAGUUUAACUGAAAGACAGGACAGAUUCUUAUGACCUGAAACAGCACCUCAACUCUUACCUUGGAUAUUUCUACAUGAAGAAUCUGCUCUGAAACUAUAGCAAACAAUCACAGAGUGUUUGAGUGUGAGUCCAGACUGGUUCGGGAAGACCAAGAAGCAAUGAUGAUGUCUGUUUUUGUCAAAUGUCUGAAAACUAUUUUUAUUUUUCUAAAACUUUGUUCAGAAGUCUCAAUAUUGUAGUGUAUAGAGAUGUACACUAAUUUAGUGAUAUGAAGAUGAAGGGCUUUAAGCCUGUGUUCCUUGCAGGCAUCUCAGUACCUAGGAACUCCAAAGAACAAACUGUUGCUCGUGCAAAAUUAAAUUUCAUAAAACAGCAAAGAA